AAUGGGUCGGCUUAUCCACAGCGCUGCUGCAGCUCUUCGAUACAUAUUCUUUAGCAUCAACCGUUUUCUGAUCAGAAGAGACUUCGUAAGUUGAACUGAUUGUUUUCUUGGAAUGUUCUCCAGCGUCUCGAGCAAGUUUCUAAUAGUCUCGAUACAACCAUACUAUGUCACAAAAAUAUCAGCUAUAUCGUUCAAAUUUUAUGUAUUUUUUUUUGUUAGUAUAUAAAUUAAUCUGAAAUUCAGAAAAUCUACAAUUAAUAGUUACCAAAUUUAGAUACAUUUUCUUUCGAAUUUAAAUAUUUUUUUUUAUAAACUAGCUAUGAAACUAUGAGUUUGAUUAGUUGGUGUUGUAACUUUAUCUUUAUUUUGCUUUAGAAUUUAAGUUGUAGAUAUUUUGGUAGUGGUUUUAUUUUUAUUUUUCCUGUGAUUGUUUCUAAUAGUAUCCAACAUAAUUUCUUUUCUGAUUCUUUGGCCACAGAUUUAUUUUUGAAAACUAAAUCAUAAUUGUUUCGUAUAAAAAAGCUCUAGAAAAAAUGAUUUUCCACAACUUCCAAUCAUGAUGGUUGUACAAACAUCAUGAAAACUCUUGAAUAAGAGUUAUUUUAUACUAGUAUUGAGUAAUUUUGCUUGCAAAUAAACACAUUUCAGUUUUUAAAAAUUGACAUGUACAGCAUAACUAUAUUUUAUCAGAUAAGUAAAUGCGUAUACACUAAAAAUAGUAUUAACACACUUAUAAUUAAGUAACCACAAACAUAUAAACUUAGCUUGCUUUUGUUGAUAAAUUUUUACAUUGAUCUUAAAUAGUUUGUUGAAUAUAAAUAUUAGUAUGAAGCUUUUCUAUUUUAUUUCGUUUUGUUCUUUCAAUAUUUUCUCUAGUUGUAUCCAUGUACAAACUAAAAUAAUGUUACAAACCCAAUAAAAGCAGAAAAAAUCAGCAUGUAACAUAGAAACAUCAUCGCAUGAAAAAAUAAUCAGUGCAUAGGAAUGGGAAUUAAUUAUGUAGUCAAAAUUAUUAAAAAAAAUUAGUUUGAGAAUAGGUGAGUGUUGCUACUAAAUUUUUGCUACUAUAGACACAAAUUGUAAGCUCAUGUCAGACAUAAUUAAACCAUUGAAAGUAGAUUAGACACUUUUGAUAACAUAUAAGCAUAAUUGCUUUUCCAUGUUUCAGAUUUUUUCAACCGUUCUUUUGAAGUUAUAUACGUAUGAAUGGUGACCAUCGUCCCACCCCGCUCUACAGUUAACAGUAACAAAAAUCUUUACAUAUACUAUAUAUCUAUACAUUUUUAUAACUGUUAAAACCACGCCGCAGUUGAACCGCUUGUCCCGCACCGCUCAAACCGCAGUCACCAUUCAGAACCGUAAUAUAUUUAAGUAUACACACCAGGAGUAUUUACCUUUUAACAAAAGCCAUUCUAUCAAAAGUCUUUCUUCUGAUUCGACAAUGUUUGUGUAACACCCUAAAAUCCAAGCCCAAAAAGUUUUUGUGAUUUAAAAGGGAAAGCCCAUCUUGCAGCCCAUUGUGAUGAAAACCCUAGGGUUCCUUGCCUUUUCCUAUAAAUACAAAGCUUCUACUUCUUAGUCUCUCAUCAGAAACUUUGAAGCGAAACUCUGCAGAGAAAUAUCGGAGACCGGAAAUCCUAGCUGUCGACUCUCUCUCUCUCUCUCCUCGCGCCGCCUCUCCUUCUUUUCUCUCUCCUCACCGCGUCUCUCUCCUCACGAUCUCUCUCUCUCUCCCGGCCGACUCUCUCUCUCUCUCUCCUCGGGCGUGAGCAGCCGCGAGUGGUGGUGGUGGCCGUGUGGUGUCGUUAAUCUCAGAUCUCAUCUCUCUUAUCUCUUGUUUUCACAUCCAGAUCCAGAUCUAGGAUAAGAUGAGAACUAUAAGUGUAAACGUUGAUGGUAACGAAGGAAAUGCACCUGAAGUUUUGGGACCAGUAACGGGACACACAGAGAUAUCAGAAAUGUAGAUAUGUGUGUCUUUAACCUCGUGCCCGGGAAUUCCGGUUGGAAAUGGGAAAGGGGCGGGUGUUACAGUUUGCAUCUUCAUUUGUGGUUGACUUCUAUCCUCCUUAUCUUUCCUUCUCUUUCUUCACGUUAAAAAAACCUCUUUGUUCGAGUUGAAUCUCCAGCCAUUCAAAUCCACCAUGUCCACUCUUUCUCGAGCUUUCAUAUCCCUAAACCGGUUCCCAAGAAGCAUGUCCUGCUCUGCCGUAAUCAACAAAAAUGUAUGAAGGAGGGAGAUAGCACUAUUAGGAAUAAUCCUCUAUCAGCACUCGCUCUAGGAUUCAGGACAUUCAAGAUGACCCCAAAUAUAAAUUAGGAUUUUGAAAGCAAAGAAGAAGAAAAAUACAUCCUUUAUAUUAUGUUUUUGAUCGAUCAAAAAGGUUUUUCUAAUUUUCUUUAUCGAAUGUGAUAAAAAUUUGGUAGAUAUAAGAGAAUGAAAAAUUAAAGAUCGUGGUUAAAGUAUGAUCGUGGGUAGUUUACAGAUUAUUUUUUGUUCUAAAUAUUAUUUUUUGAGUUUUUUUCUUAAUUUUUUACAUUAUUAUGUAUCAGAAUAUGAUUGGUUGAGUGACUUGCAAUUUAGUAUAAGAUUAGGAUAUAUACAAAUGUCUUGUAUUCUCCAAACUCAUGCAUUAUUAUGUAUAACAACACAUUAUAAUUUUUUAAAAAUUGUCGCAUAUGUCUUAUGUACAAAAUAAGAAGCAAAAAUUUGUGGUAUAAGAUAUAAUUAUAUUAUAUAAAAUAUUUCAUAUACAAAGUUGAAUCUAAAUCAUAUUAUAUAUAAUCCUUCAUAUAACUGCUGGGUAAAUCAUAUUACUAUAUCUAAAUCAAUUGUUGCUAUAUCUAAAUCACUUGCAACAAUUCUUUUGUCAUGGCUAAAGAAAGAUGUAAAAACAAGAAAUUGGUCUCUCUCAUAAAAGCAAAACUAUAAGAGUGGAAAGCCUAACUAAAAGCCUCUGAUUGUUUCUCUUCCAAAUUUCAUCUUA